rnacentral:rRNA from 1 species
AACGAACGCUGGCGGCAUGCCUAACACAUGCAAGUCGAACGAGAUCUUCGGGUCUAGUGGCGCACGGGUGCGUAACGCGUGGGAAUCUGCCCUUUGGUUCGGAAUAGCAGUUGGAAACGACUGCUAAUACCGGAUGAUGACGAAAGUCCAAAGAUUUAUCGCCAGAGGAUGAGCCCGCGUAGGAUUAGCUAGUGGGUGUGGUAAAGGCGCACCAAGGCGACGAUCCUUAGCUGGUCUGAGAGGAUGAUCAGCCACACUGGGACUGAGACACGGCCCAGACUCCUACGGGAGGCAGCAGUGGGGAAUAUUGGACAAUGGGCGAAAGCCUGAUCCAGCAAUGCCGCGUGAGUGAUGAAGGCCUUAGGGUUGUAAAGCUCUUUUACCCGGGAUGAUAAUGACGGUACCGGGAGAAUAAGCUCCGGCUAACUCCGUGCCAGCAGCCGCCGCAG